CUUAUCAGUCCGAGUGGCGGCCUGGCCUCAGCUUGAGGUGGGGAAAAACUCUGCGUGCACCUGACUGGGAAGGCCUUCCUGGACUUCCGGUCAACUGGCCAACCUCGAGGACUGCUUGCCCACAGAGCAGGUGUCAGUGUGGCUGCGCAUCCUGCUGAAGGGAGGCGCUAAAGUUCAGCAGUGGCUAUGGAGAGUUUGCUGCAUGGCGUGGUCCAGCUGAGUGCCAAAUAAUAUCAGAAUGGGACUGAGCCCUCAGAUGUGCCAGGAAGACACAGCUUGGAAGAACUACCUCUUGGAUACAGAAUCUCCAGUACCUAUUUCAAACCUGACUUCGAUAAUCAGAACGCCUGGAGCUCAAGGCUGAACAGCUGAACACUGAGUUAUGGAAUUCAUGCUUGCCUAUUCCCCAGUAACCCGUUCUUUGACUCAGCUAUGAAGAGACAGUCAUACCUAGGCCCACCAGGAGAGACUUGAGUCAGCUACAGCACUUAGAAGACAACCAAUAUAUCCUGCUGAUGCAUAGAGGUCCACGCCAUGUCUGUCCUGCCCUGAUGCUAAUGAUAAUUAAGAACUACUUUGUGCUUCACAGUACUUUCUCUCAUCAAUUGUAGCAUUUAAGCCUCAGUCUCACAAAGAAAGUUGAGUGAUAAUUCUAUGUAUGAUUGUGUUGUGUCAUACAGAUAUAUCUUCACCUCAAUAAAUUA